rnacentral:tRNA from 1 species
CCGCCCUUAGCUCAGUUGGUUAGAGCAUUCCGCUUAUACCGGAAGGGUCCUUGGUUCGAGUCCAAGAGGGCGGA